rnacentral:rRNA from 1 species
CUUCUUCGGACAAUAUACAAGGUGCUGCAUGGUUGUCGUCAGCUCGUGCCGUGAGGUGUCGGGUUAAGUCCCAUAACGAGCGCAACCCUAUCAUUAGUUGCCAUCAGGUCAAGCUGGGGACUCUAAUGAAACUGCCUACGCAAGUAGUGAGGAAGGUGGGGAUGACGUCAAAUCAGCACGGCCCUUACGUCCAGGGCUACACACGUGCUACAAUGGCCGGUACAAAGGGCAGCUACCUGGUGACAGGAUGCUAAUCUCAAAAGCCGGUCUCAGUUCGGAUCGGAGUCUGCAACCCGACUCCGUGAAGCUGGAAUCGCUAGUAAUCGUGGAUCAGCAUGCCACGGUGAAUACGUUCCCGGGCCUU